rnacentral:rRNA from 1 species
ACGUAGGAGGCGAGCGUUAUCCGGAUUUACUGGGCGUAAAGCGCGUGCAGGCGGCUCGAAAAGUUGGAUGUGAAAGCUCCUGGCUUAACUGGGAGAGGUCGUUCAAUACUUUCGGGCUUGAGGAUGGGAGAGGGAGGUGGAAUUCCGGGUGUAGUGGUGAAAUGCGUAGAUAUCCGGAGGAACACCAGUGGCGAAGGCGGCCUCCUGGCCCAUUUCUGACGCUCAGACGCGAAAGCUAGGGUAGCAAACGG